rnacentral:rRNA from 1 species
UUCAGUUGGGCACUCUAAGGUGACUGCCGGCUAAAAAGUCGGAGGAAAGGUGGGGGAUGACGUCAAAUCAUCAUGCCCCUUAUGACCUGGGCUACACACGUGCUACAAUGGGCGGUACAAAGGGUCGCGAACCCGCGAGGGGGAGCCAAUCCCAAAAAGCCGCUCUCAGUUCGGAUUGCAGGCUGCAACUCGCCUGCAUGAAGCCGGAAUCGCUAGUAAUCGCGGAUCAGCAUGCCGCGGUGAAUACGUUCCCGGGCCUU